UAAUCUACUGGUCUUAACCCAGAUUAUUUGAAUAGUUACUGUUAUAAAAAUUAACCCAGAUUAUUGACACAUAAUAAUAUAAAAUCAGUUAAUUAAAAUAAAAUUUAAAACAUAACAGUUUUUUUUUUCACUUAUUGUAUACAAUUUCUUAGUACAAUGCAGAUCAACAUUUGGAACAUAUAUAUAUGUAUCUAUGUAUGUCAACUUCUUUGUACUGCAGGAGGUUUAAGAAAGAAGGAGGCCAUUGUAGGUGGUGGUGUUGGAGGUGGAGGUCUACUUCUAUCAUCCUUGCAGUGUUUGCCUUGCGAAGAUCCAGCAAACCUAAGAGGUUUCCAAGAGGUAAGUUAUAAAUUAGGAAAUCUUUAACUUCAUUGUGCUUGAUAUUAGUUCUUGAUUUUCAUUUUUAGUAUUUUUCAAAUUUAAAAUCCUCACUAGUAGUUUCUUCUUCAAUAUCGGUGCUUUGCAUCCUAUAUCAGUACAAAUUGCAAUUGUAAUCUCUUUUUAUCACAGACUAAAGAAGAAAAGUUAGACCAUUUAUAUAAAGUUACUGUUUAGAAAUACUUUAUCUACUUGAUUAUAAUGAAGUAAAUUCGCUUGAGUUACUUGUAUUCUUGUUACUAAAUUCAAAUCAAAUGAUAAGAGAUUGUUAUUUAAGAAAAACCUACAAAAUAUUCUUAGUGUUCGGAAAAAAUAUAUAUUCAAAAGUUGUUUCAAACUUCAUGUUAAGAAUACAAGAGAUUUAUCCAAGUUGUGUAAAACCAAAAAGACAUUCUAGUUUUACUUUAUCAGAAAAUCAAACCUGCUUUAUUAUGUUAGUGUGUAGGCUAAUAUAUGGUAUAAGGUGUAAGAUGUAAGAUGUAAGGUUAAGUCUCCACUCAAAUAUAAUAUCUUAACUAUCAAUAUAUACCUAUAUGUAAAGAAAUUCAACAUUAUAACUAGUUUUUGUUGUAAAUAAAUUUAUUCUUAUUUUAUCUUUAUAUUAAUAUUUUAUUUUGAUUAUUUUAUUAUUUGUAUAAUUAUUUAAAUUUAAAACUUUAAAAAAAAUAUUAAAUUUAAAUGAAACUACUUAAAUUGAUCUUGGAAUAAAAAGGCACAAUACAAAAGAAAAAAGAAAUUAAUAUAAACCACAAUUUUAUUUUAUUUUAUGAUAUUUUGAUAUUCUGUUUCACUUUACACUCAUAAUAAAAUAUUAAUAUUUAUAAUAAAAAAAUAAAAAAAUCCUUAAUGAAAAUAUAAACAAAAUAUUAAAAUAAAUUUUAAAAUUAAAAAAAUUAUAAUUAAUUAAAAUAUUAAUAUUUAUUGAAGUGUAAAGUGUAGCACGUCAAUGUCAAGUAGUGUUUUUAACAGGUCCACGAGCAGUUCAAUGUCAUCAUAAUUAUAUCCUUAGUCAAAAUUCAAAGUUUCAAACCACACAUUUGUUCGCCUCCAUCCCUCAGAUUUUGAUAUCAUCUUAGUCCACCCAUGGAUAUGGCAAAUUAUAUCAAACUAACUCAUCAUUUAAACCAUUAUUAAAGAAUAUGGUGCAACUAAAGAUCCAAGAGCUAACCUUGUUGGUGCUGUGUUCAUGGUGGAGCUUAGAGGGUACAGUAGGAGACCCUCAAAUAUUUUUUCUCAAAUGGGAUUGCAGCGGAUUCACU
rnacentral:lncRNA from 1 species